ACGCGUGGGUAAUCUGCCCUUUGGUUGGGGAUAACAGUCCGAAAGGACUGCUAAUACCGAAUAAGUCAAUCAGCCCCGCGGGGAGGAUUGGGAAAGGCUUCGGCCGCCGAAGGAUGAGCCCGCGUACCAUUAGGUAGUUGGUGAGGUAAUGGCUCACCAAGCCAAAGAUGGUUAGCUGGUCUGAGAGGAUGAUCAGCCACACUGGGACUGAGACACGGCCCAGACUCC
rnacentral:rRNA from 1 species